rnacentral:rRNA from 1 species
GACGAACGCUGGCGGCGUGCUUAACACAUGCAAGUCGAACGGAAAGGCCCUGCUUUUGUGGGGUGCUCGAGUGGCGAACGGGUGAGUAACACGUGAGUAACCUGCCCUUGACUUUGGGAUAACUUCAGGAAACUGGGGCUAAUACCGGAUAGGAGCUCCUGCUGCAUGGUGGGGGUUGGAAAGUUUCGGCGGUUGGGGAUGGACUCGCGGCUUAUCAGCUUGUUGGUGGGGUAGUGGCUUACCAAGGCUUUGACGGGUAGCCGGCCUGAGAGGGUGACCGGCCACAUUGGGGCUGAGAUACGGCCGAGACUGCUACGGGAGGCAGCAGUGGGGAAUAUUGCACAAUGGGCGGAAGCCUGAUGCAGCAGCGCCGCGUGCGGGAUGACGGCCGUCGGGUUGUAAAACGCUUUCGCCUGUGACGAAGCGUGAGUGACGGUAAUGGGUAAAGAAGCACCGGCUAACUACGUG